AUGUGGGGAGAGAAGAAAAUCUAUGAACGGGUUAAAUUUCAGUCAUACGAAGCUUUGAGAAGUAGAAAAUAUGUGAAAAUUCCUCCGCCGCGGCGACAGAGAAAAAUAAAAGUAGAAAAGUGGAAUUCUAAAACAGUUCCACAAGUACAAACACAAAAAUAUCUCAGUAAUCAAUUUGUAAUGCGAUGUUGGUUUGGUGAGUGUCAAAGUGUACUUUCAAAUGUGCCGAAACUCAUACUGCUCAGAUAGAUCCUCCUCUGUAACUUCUGCGGAGGAAUAGAUUUUUCUCUGAGUGACUUCAGCGACGAGGUGAGGAGUGAAGAAACGCAAUACAGUCUUUUAUAGGAAAAUAGAAACGAAAACGAAAAUUUUAAAGUAAAAACAGACGGGGACGAAACAAGGGGAACGGGGCCUUUUAUUAUUUUAACUCCGUAAUAAUAUUGUUCUUGACGACACAUUUAGAAGAUUAGUUCACCUAACCGGAGACAGAGCUCAGCCUCGCGCUGGCGACUCUAUGUGGAUUUUACAGAAAAUAUGGGCCAAUUACCCGUUUUCUCUUCGGGCAAAGUAUUAGUCAUCGUCGUCUGCUGUGUUCGACUUUCUUUGGCUCUCCAAUGUCUGGAUGCUAUUAAGCCGUGUGUCAACAAUGCUACAUGUGCCACCUUCACCAACGGGACAGGAUACUGCAGGUGUGCCGCAGGUUUCCUGGGUGAUUACUGCCAUCACAAAGACCCGUGUCACCCUGGUUACUGUCUGAAUGGGGGGAAUUGCUCUGUGGCUGUGUCGGGUAUCCCGGGCAGCCCUACCUGCUCCUGUCCCCUGGGCUACACUGGGCAGCACUGCCAGACCCCCCAGAACUCCACCUGCUACCCCAACAACCCAUGUGCCAACCAAGGAGUCUGCACCCUGCUCUCCCUCGACAAGUACAAGUGCCAGUGUGCCCACGGAUGGACAGGCAUGCGCUGUAAUCGUGAGGACAGAUGUCUGUCAGGACCCUGUGCUAAUGGAGGCACCUGCAGCUCUCUGUCUGGGGGCAAGUUCAGCUGUACCUGUCCUCCAGGUUACUGGGGUCCUCGCUGCCUCAACGACACUGACGAGUGUGCUGCUUCUGCCCCGGUGUGUCAGAACCAAGGGGCUUGUGUCAACACCCCCGGCUCCUACAGGUGUAACUGCGCCCCUGGGUUCACUGGCCGCCAAUGUGAGACCCCCUACAUCCCCUGCUCCCCCUCGCCCUGCCUCAACGGGGGCACGUGUCGCCCAACCUCUGAGACCAGCUACUGGUGCCACUGCCUGCCAGGCUUCAAUGGUACUAACUGUGAGAACAACAUUGACGACUGCCCCGACCAUCAAUGCCGAAAUGGAGGGACCUGCAUGGACGGUGUCAAUACUUACAACUGCCAAUGCCCCCCAGAAUGGACUGGUCAGUUCUGUACUGAGGAUGUGGAUGAGUGUCGACUGCAGCCCAACACAUGUCAGAACGGGGGGACCUGCAGCAACAUCCAGGGCAGCUACACCUGUGUAUGUGUCAACGGCUGGAGUGGCCUGGACUGCUCUGAGAACAUAGAUGACUGUGCUACGGCUGCCUGCACCAAUGGCUCCACCUGUAUUGACCGUGUGGCAUCCUUCCUUUGUGUCUGCCCCUAUGGAAAAACAGGUUUGCUCUGCCACGUGAACGAUGCCUGCAUUAGUAGCCCGUGCCGGGACGGGGCGCAGUGCGACACCAACCCCAUCAAUGGCAUGUUCAACUGCAACUGUGCCCCAGGCUACAUAGGAAGCACCUGCAAUGACGACAUCAAUGAGUGCAUCAUAGGCUUCCCCUCAGGUCCAAACCCCUGUGAGCAUGGAGGAUCGUGUGUGAACACAGAUGGCUCGUUCACAUGUAACUGUGCGAGAGGUUAUGGAGGGCCGCGCUGUGAGACAGACAUCAAUGAGUGUGCGUCCAGCCCCUGCCAGAAUGACGGCACCUGUCUGGACCGCAUAGGAGACUACAGCUGCAUCUGUAUGGAAGGAUUUGAGGGAACACACUGUGAGAUUGACAUCAACGAGUGUGCCAGUUCUCCAUGUCUGAACCAAGGGACCUGUCUGGAUCAAGUCAAACGCUACGUCUGCCAGUGCCCUCUAGGAUUCAGUGGGGAGAUGUGUCAGAUCGACAUUGACGAAUGUUCCAGCACACCAUGUCUCAACGGGGCUAAGUGUAUCGACCGUCCCAACGGCUACGAGUGUGAAUGUGCUGAAGGCUUCUCUGGGCCGUUGUGUAAUGAGAACAUAGAUGACUGUGACCCAGAGCCCUGUCACCACGGGGUUUGUCGUGAUGGCAUCGCAACCUUCUCCUGUGACUGUGACCCGGGCUACACCGGCUCUAUCUGCAACGUCCAGUUCAUGGAGUGCCACAGCAACCCCUGCCAGAACCGUGGACGCUGCAUCGACCUGGUCAACAAGUACCAGUGCAACUGUCUGCCUGGCACCUCGGGGGUGAACUGUGAGUUCAAUGUUGACGACUGUGCCAGUAACCCCUGUGAAUACGGAGAGUGCCAGGACGGGAUCAAUGAGUACAAGUGUGUCUGUGCUCCAGGAUACACAGGUGCAAAAUGUGAUGUGGACAUCCAUGAGUGUAAUUCCAGCCCGUGUAUGAGUGGGGGUACGUGUGUGGACAAGGUAAACGGCUUCAUCUGCCAGUGUCCCCCUGGCACCCACGGCCCCUUGUGCCACUCUGGCACCAACCACUGUGCCCCCCAGCCCUGUGUACACGGAGACUGUGUAGAGCACCAGAGCGGGUACAACUGUGAGUGUGAUUCUGGCUGGGUGGGGCAGCACUGUGACCAGGAGAAGGAUGAGUGCCAGUCCAGCCCCUGCCAGUACAGCAGCACCUGUGUGGACAGACUCAACGGAUACUCUUGCCAGUGUCGCCCCGGAUUCACAGGUGUGAACUGCGAGUUCAACAUGGAGGAGUGUGCAUCAAGCCCGUGUGAGAACCAUGGUACCUGUGUGGAUGGAGUCAACACCUACAGCUGCCUGUGUGAUCCUCCAUACUCCGGAAAACACUGUGAGGAGGAGUUGGUUCCCUGUGCGUCUCAUCCAUGUGAGAGGGGAGGUGUGUGUCAGCCAACCCCAGACUACACCUUUUACACCUGUCGAUGUCCCAGUGGCUGGCAAGGCCCCCGCUGCACUGAGGAUGUGGAUGAGUGCAGGAAGAACCCAUGUCAGAACAGGGCCCGUUGCAUCAACAGCCAGGGCAGCUACGUGUGCAAGUGUCGACCAGGCUACAGCGGUCUCAACUGCCAGACCAACAUCGAUGACUGCUCCCCCCACCCGUGUCUGAACGGCGGUUCCUGUGUGGACGAAGUGGGAGGGUUCUCCUGUGACUGCCGGCAAGGGUUUGAUGGUGAGCGGUGUGAGGCAGAAGUGGACGAGUGUGCCAGUCAGCCGUGUCAGAAUGGAGCUGUGUGCCGGGACUACGUCAACAGCUUUGUCUGUGUGUGCCGGCCAGGUUUCGAUGGAAUCCUCUGUGAACACAACAUCCCAGAAUGCACUGAGAGUUCCUGUCUGAAUAACGGGACAUGUGUUGAUGACAUCAACACCUUCUCGUGUCGUUGUCGUCCUGGCUUCUACGGCACCUUCUGUGAGUAUGAGCAGAAUGAGUGUGACUCUCAGCCCUGCAAGCACGGAGGAACCUGCACUGAUGGCCUGGGCUCCUACCGCUGCACCUGCCCUGUGGGCUACAAUGGACAGAACUGCCAGAACUUUGUGAACCUGUGUAGCCAGCCACUGUGCCAAAAUGGAGGGUCUUGUUCCCAGUCAGAGACCACCUGGUUGUGUCACUGUCCUGUGGGGUGGACUGGCAUGUACUGUGAUGUCCCCAACAUGUCCUGUCAGGACUAUGCUGCUCGGAACGGUAUCCAAGUGGAGUUAGUGUGCAAGCACUCGGGUCGCUGCGUGAAUGUGGGUAAUGCCCACCAGUGUCAGUGCUUGCCUGGUUACACGGGCAGCUACUGUAACGAGAUGGUGGAUGAGUGCCUUUCCAACCCCUGCCGCAACGGGGCCACCUGCAUGGACUACCAGGGCACAUAUGAGUGUAUGUGCAAGGCUGGCUACCAGGGGGUGAACUGUGAAUAUGAUGUGGAUGAGUGUCACUCUAAUCCUUGUCACCAUGGAGGAACCUGCAUCAACCUCAUAAACCGUUUUUCCUGCGCCUGCCCACCUGGCACUAAUGGUGUUCAGUGUGAGGUGAAUGUGGAUGACUGUGCUCCCAAGCCUGGCUCCUGGGAGCUUCGCUGUCUGAAUGGGGGCCAGUGUGUGGACGGGGUGGGACGCUACACCUGCUCCUGCCCCCCUGGCUUCGCUGGGGAACACUGUGAGGGGGACGUCAACGAGUGUCUCUCUGGUCCCUGCCAGUCUCCUGGCAGCCUGGACUGUGUACAGCUGGCCAAUGACUACCAGUGCCGCUGUCGCUUGGGCUACACAGGACGCCGCUGUGAGUCCAUGGUGGACCUGUGCCAGUCGAAGCCGUGCCAUAACAGUGGCACCUGCUCCAUGAACAUGAGCUCAGUGCAUGGAUACACAUGCAUCUGUCAACCAGGCUUCACUGGCUUCAACUGUGGAGAGGUGGAGGGCUACAACUGUGCCAAGCUGCGUUGCCAGAACGGCGGGCACUGCCAGGAGUCUCAGGUUGGUCGUCCGCACUGCCGUUGCCAACCAGGCUUCAGUGGGCCCCGCUGCGAGUCCGUCCACAGCUGCCAGAACCGGCCCUGUCUGAACGGAGGCACCUGUAUGAAGGACCCACUCUACCAGUACAGCUGUCACUGCCCAGCCCACUUCUCAGGCAGGCACUGUGAGAAUGUCAUCUUCGAUCAGUCUACCAGCACCCCCGCCUCCUGCCCCUACGUAGAGUGUGAGCAGCAUUCUGGGGAUAAGGUGUGUGACCCGCAGUGCAACAGCCAUGAGUGCCAAUGGGACGGAGGGGACUGUUCUCUACAUUGGCGCCAGCCAUGGGUCAACUGCACCGCCCCGGUGCCCUGCUGGGAGCUGUUCCGCAACGGCCGAUGUGACCCCGAGUGUGACAACUCUGGCUGCCUCUUCGACAGCUUCGAGUGUCAGGAGAGCGCACAGUCUUACUGCAAGUAUGAUAAGUACUGUGCGGCUCACUAUGCCAACAAGAUCUGUGAUAAGGGCUGUAACACGGAGGCAUGUGGCUGGGACGGCCUGGACUGCUCUGGAGACACCCCUGCUGUGGUGGCUGACGGAACGCUGGUGAUCGUAGUGUUACUGCAGCCUGAGGAGCUCAUGGGAGACAUGAGAGGCUUCCUGCGCUCCCUGGGAACCCUGCUGCACACCAACCUCCGUGUCAAGAUGGACGACCAGCAGAAACCUAUGUUGUAUCCGUACUACGGCCUCGAGCACGACGAUGCCAAUGGAGGACAGCCUUCUACCAUGAAGCUUAGAGGCAAACGGGAGCUAGACAAGGAGGUUGUCGGGUCUAAGGUGUACCUGGAGAUCGAUAACCGUAAGUGUUCUGAGCGCUCCAUGGACUGCUUCUCCAGCACAGAGCUGGCUGCAUCCUUCAUCGCUGCUGAGUACUUGAAAUCUGAGCUGCCCUACCCUGUGGUCUCUGUCAACAGUGACCCUACGGAACCCCAUAAGCCCCCCUUCCUGCUCUACCUGGCUGUGGGAGCAGCCGUCAUCAUCCUGCUCAUCUUGGUGCUGGGCGUGCUGGCCGCCAAGAGGAAACGCAAACACGGCAUUGUCUGGCUCCCCGAUGGCUUCCUGGCCAAGAAGGAUGACAAGAGGCGAGAACCCGUGGGCCAGGACGACUUCGGCAUGAAGAACUUCAAGACCCAGGAUGGAGGGAUAAUAGAUGGAGGCCAGAGGUGGAUGGAAGAGGAGGCUCCGCCAAAGAAAGUAAGGACUGAGGACAAGCCCCUGCUGCCCAUGGGUGUGGAUGGAGGAGUGGACAGACGGGAGUGGACCCUGCAGCACCACAAGGCUGCUGACAUCUCUCUCACUCCACCACAGACUGAUCUGGAGGCAGACUGCCUGGAUGUCAAUGUCAAAGGACCAGAUGGUUUCACCCCCCUGAUGCUGGCCUCUCUACGAAACGGAGGGGCAUCUGAUUGCGGCCUGCAGGCGGAGGAGGAGGAAGAGAGCGGGGGAGAUGAGCCGGGACCCAACGCCAUCUCAGACCUCAUCACCCAGGGUGCAACAGUCAUGGCCCAGACAGACCGCACCGGGGAGACGGCACUCCACCUGGCUGCUCGCUACGCCCGGGCUGACGCCGCCAAGAGGCUGCUGGACGCUGGGGCAGACGCCAACGCUCACGACAACAUGGGUCGCACACCUCUCCACGCUGCUGUGGCAGCCGAUGCCCAGGGAGUGUUCCAGAUCCUGAUCCGUAACCGGGCCACUGAGUUGGAUGCCAGGAUGAAUGAUGGCACCACACCUCUGAUCCUGGCUGCCAGGCUGGCUGUGGAAGGCAUGGUGGAGGAACUGGUACAUUGCCACGCUGACAUCAACGCUGUCGACGACCACGGUAAAUCUGCUCUGCACUGGGCAGCUGCUGUGAACAAUGUGGAGGCCACUCUGGUGCUGCUGAAGAAUGGAGCCAACAGAGACAUGCAGGACAACAAGGAGCAGACCCCGUUGUUCCUGGCAGCCAGAGAGGGUAGUUUUGAGGCAGCCCAGGUUCUGCUGGACCACUACUCUAAUAGGGACAUCACAGACCACCUGGACCGGCUGCCCCGCGACACCGCACAGGAGCGCAUGCACCAUGACAUCGUACGUCUGCUUGACCAGUACAACCUGGUCCACAGCCCUCACAAUGGCCCCAACCACAUGGGCGGGGGACACUCUUCCUUGGUCUGUGGAGGCAAUGGCGCUGGCUACAUGGGCAUGCGCCCCGGACCCCAGGGCAAGAAGAGCAGGCGCGGCGGUGCAAAGGUUGGAGGGGUGGGUGGGGCUACAGCAAAAGAGCUGAAAGACAUGAAGGCCAAGCGGAGAAAGAAGCCAACGGGAGGAGAAGGGACUGCAGUGGGAGGAGCCAGUGGCAACUGCACUAAAGCUGCAGGAGGGCUGUCGGAGAGCUCAGUCACCAUGUCCCCUGUCGACUCCCUGGAGUCUCCACACUCAUACAUAGGAGAUGCUGCCGGGGCCUCCAAAACGACUAACUCUCCUCUCCUGGGCAGCCCCUCCUCCAGGCCCCUGCUGCCCCCAGUCAGCCACAUGCUGGGCCAGCAGCAGAGUUGGGUGGGCCUGAAGCAUGGCUACGGUGGCCACAUGUUAAACCUCCUCCCCCAGCAGAUGGGCAGUGGCCACCCUAGCAUGUCCCAGCACCACGGCCAAGGCCUGCUCACCCCUAUGAAUGUCACCAUGAGCCGCGAGCAGCUGCCUCCCAUUGUUACCUUCCAGAUGAUGGCGCCGGGGGGUGGGCAGGCCCUGCUGAAGCAGCCCCAGCCUGGGCAGGUGCAGUCCCAGGGCCAAAACCAGGGCCAGCCCCAAUCUCAGCAGGGCCCUACUCACCUCCACUGCACCCAGGGCAUGUUGUACCAGAUGCCCAACAUGAGCCUCCAGCACAGCCUGUCUCACAGCCUCCCUCACCCCCACUCCCAUGGCCUGGCCCACGGCCACGGCAUGGUGCAGGAUGGCCAGUCCCGCCAACAACUCCCUCCCUAUCAGGCUAUGCAGAGCCCCGUGGAUAAGUACCCAACCCCUCCUUCUCAGCACAGCUACGCUACGGCUGGCUCGGAGGGCACCACCCCAGGGUAUCCGGCUCACCCGCCCAGCGAGCACCCUUACCUCACCCCCUCCCCUGAGUCCCCUGACCCCUGGUCCUCCUCCUCCCCCCCACUCCAACUCAGACUGGUCUGACGUCACCACCAGCCCCACCCCCCCUGGGGAACCCCCAUGCACUGCCGCCUCUCCGCCACACACACAUUCCGGAGCAGCUGCAGCCGCAGUCCCAGCAGACACAACAGAACCCCCAGCAGCCUCAGCGUGGCAACAUGCAGGUGUUUGCAUAGACAAGAGGACUCUAUUAAAGUGCCCAACUCUUAAAUGCUUUGCUGAUCUUUGUAGUUACAACACUUAAACUCUUAUCCAUCACUUCUUUCGUCAUUUGUUUUUGUCUUAUUGUCUCUCUGAUUACAGUAAUCACUUUUACACUUCAUUGUCACACGAUUUUCUUCAAUUUUGCACUUAAAGAUAGUGUAUAGUCUUGUAUGUGUAUUGUCAACUAAAACCAAAAACUGUUUAAGUACCUUUGACAUUUAAAAGUGACGGAUCGUCAGAAAUCAAACAAGGAACCAGAGCCAACCGGUGAUUAUGUAAGGACAACGGACUGUUCAAGAAGACACCAAGACCGAAUCGACAUUGGACAUUGUCUAAAUCUGCUUUUUAUUCAUCCCUCUUGGGACGUUUCUUUGGGCUGAGACUUAUUUUAUUAAAAAAUUAAGGAAAUAAUUGCUCAUUUAACAUGCUAUCAUUUUCAUUCACUGUUUUAUGUAGACCUCUGCCAAGGACAUACGGUUUCAUUGAAAAUGAACGUGACUUUUUAUAUGAUGGGUUACGUUCGCUUAUGUUAAGAUGUGUUCACUAAGCGAAGACUGCCUUAUGGAUUCGUAUUAUGGAAUGUAUCCGAUUAGGAUGUGGUGAUGCUAUUUGAGGGGCUAUUGUGUGGUUAGAAACACACACACGCUAAAAACAUGCAGAUACAUCUCUUCAAUGUGUGGUUCUAAGCUAAACUGUGGUGUAAAUAGUUGUCAUGUACACUGAGUAUACCAAACAUUAGGAACACGAUCCUAAUAUUGAGAUGCACCCCUAAGAACAGACUUCUUGAUACACACAGGAAACUGUUGAGCAUGAAAAACGCAGCAGCGUUGCAGUUCUUGACACAAACUGGUGCACCUGGCACCUACUACCAUACCCUGUUCAAGGACAUUUGCAUUUUUUGUUUUGCCCAAUUCACCCUCUAAAUGACACACAUACACUGUCUCGAGGCUUAAAAAUCCUUCUUUAACCGGUCUCCUCCCAUCUACACGGAUUUUAAUUUUUUUAUUUAAGUGAUCAUAGCUUUCACUUGGAUUCACCUGGUCAGUCUAUCUCAUGGAAAGCAGGAGUUCUUAAUGUUUUGUACACUCAGUGUAAGUUCCUGUAUUCUUUUUCAUUAUUGCCUUUGUUACAGUGUAGCCUCUGUCUCUCCCCCACACCUUCGGGAGGAUGUCAGUUAGUGGGGGCUGUGGUGGUCUGUGUCAGGAGAAUCUGUGUUACUGAAGAGUUUAAGAUGUAUGGUACAGUUAUGGAUACAAAAGAAAAGAUUGUGACUGAAAUACCAAAUGAAAGAAAAAGGCAUUUUUUGAUGUUGCACUGUCGCUCUCCAUGUUCUCUCACCAUGGGAGUUUCACUCUGGUGUGUGAAAUAAGACUAGGACAAAGAUGCUUUACAUUAUGUUACUAAGUCGAUCACUUUGAUAGAACAGUUGAGCGUUGAGGUACAGUAUUUCUUCCAAAAUCAUGUAAUCACUUUUUUGCUAAAUUACAAUCAGUGUAUUUGUGUAUCUUUUUUGUGAUUCAUAAACCAAGUCGUUUAAGAUAAAAACAAUUGUAUAAUGAGUAUUUUUGUCGUCCUAAUGUUUCUCAUGAGCACAGCCUUAUGUGAAUGCUCUGUGAUUACAGACAAUCAUUGAUCGUUUCUAUUUUGUACCGAUAAAUGAAACAUCAAUGUCUCAAGACCAAAGUGAUUCAUUGCAAAUCCAUGACAUUGGUGACUGGUGAAAGUGUUCUUUGGAAAUGUUGCAUUUGAGGUAUUGUCUAAUCAAAGUGGAUUAUUGUUACAAUGUAUUUGAAAGAUUAAUGUGGCUUUGACAGAGCAAAAUCCAAAUACAGUCAAUGAUUAUUGUUAUACCUUUUAUUUAACUAGGCAAGUCAGUUAAGAACAAAUUCUUAUUUUCAAUGACGGCCUAGUGUUAGUGUUAACGAUGGCCGUGGGUUACCUGCCUUGUUCAGGGGCAGAAAGACAUUUUUACCUAGUCGGCUCUGGGAUUCGAUGUUGCAACCUUUCGGUUACUAGUCCAAUGCUCUAACCACUAGGCUACCUGCCUCCCCGUCACACAUGGUAAGGUAUCAUGUGAGUGCCUUUAUGAGAAACUACAUAGCAAAAUCCCCAAAGUCCUUUCCCAUUCCCCCUAUCUGGCACUUAAUAUCCCCCACUACAAAUUACUUCUGAUGUACUAUCCACAUAAUCAAAUCAGCAGAGCUCGUGGAGCAAUGGUAUUUACACCUAAAUGCCGCAUUAUGCAAGGCUAUUUUUUUAACGUGCUGUAUAUAAACAAGUUUUGUAUGUUUAUACUUUUUCUGCUAACCAAAUACAUACACGUUAUAUGAAGUAGCUUCCCCUCAUAUUUGUAUGAUGAGGAAAAUAUGCCUGUUUAUAAAGAACAAAACCUGUCUGAUUUGAAAUAAACUAAACAAAUGAUACAGAAAUAGUCAGACUUUUAGAUCUAUAAUAUGUAUCUGCCUAUUGUGCACGUACGUGCCAUUCUCAUGGUAAAACACAGGAAUUGUUUUUCGAAAUAAAUGAAUAAA